CCUACGGGAUGCUGCAGUGGGGAAUAUUGGGCAAUGGAGGCAACUCUGACCCAGCAACGCCGCGUGAAUGAUGAAGGUCUUCGGAUUUUAAAGCUCUUUUCUUAGGGAAGAAGAAAGUGACGGUACCUUAGGAAUAAGCCUCUGCUAACUACGUGCCAGCAGCCGCGGUAAUACGUAGGAGGCAAGCGUUAUCCGGAAUGACUGGGCGUAAAGGGUGCGUAGGUGGUUCAGCAAGUUAGUAGCGUAACUCCGGGGCUCAACCUCGGCACUAAUACGAAAACUGUUGGACUUGAGUGCAGGAGGGGCAACUGGAAUUCCUAGUGUAGCGGUGGAAUGUGUAGAUAUUAGGAGGAACACCAGUGGCGAAGGCGAGUUGCUGGACUGUAACUGACACUGAGGCACGAAAGCGUGGGGAGCAAACAGGAUUAGAUACCCUGUAGUC
rnacentral:rRNA from 1 species